rnacentral:rRNA from 1 species
GGUAACGGCUCACCAAACCUACGAUGGAUAGGGGUUCUGAGAGGAAGGUCCCCCACACUGGAACUGAGACACGGUCCAGACUCCUACGGGAGGCAGCAGUGAGGAAUAUUGGUCAAUGGGCGCGAGCCUGAACCAGCCACGUCGCGUGAAGGAUGACGGCCUUAUGGGUUGUAAACUUCUUUUACAGGGGAAUAAAGUGAGUCACGUGUGAUUUUUUGCAUGUACCCUGUGAAUAAGCAUCGGCUAACUCCGUGCCAGCAGCCGCGGUAAUACGGAGGAUGCAAGCGUUAUCCGGAUUUAUUGGGUUUAAAGGGUGCGUAGGUGGAUUAAUAAGUCAGCGGUGAAACUCACAGGCUCAACCUGUGCCGUGCCGUUGAAAAUGUUUAUCUUGAAUGCGGAUGCAGUGGGAGGAAUGUGUAGUGUAGCGGUGAAAUGCAUAGAUAUUACACAGAACACCGAUUGCGAAGGCAUCUCACAAAGCCGUGAUUGACGAUGAGGCAAGAAAGUGUGGGGAUCAAACAGGAUUAGAUACCCUGGUAGUCCACUACUGUAAACGAUGAUAACUCGCGGCCGGCGAUAUAUAGUCGGUGGCCCAG